rnacentral:sRNA from 1 species
AAUUUGCUGGGGGCAGAUAAAAUGGAUAUGGGCAUCGACGCCCCCCGCCGUGAGAAUUUGCCCUUCACCGGCAAUCACCUCGGUGCUCGGCCCAACGAUAAUAUCAACGCCGUCCUGCACAUCCGGGUUGCCGCCUUUACCAAUCGCACAAAUGCGACCCUCUUUAAUACCCACAUCGGCUUUGACAAUGCCCCAGUGGUCAAGGAUGAGGGCAUUGGUAAUCAAGGUAUCGACUGUUUCCGCACGCGACCUUUGGCUCUGACCCAUGCCGUCUC